rnacentral:rRNA from 1 species
CCUACGGGCGGCAGCAGUGAGGAAUAUUGGUCAGUGGACGAGAGUCUGAACCAGCCAAGUAGCGUGAAGGAUGACUGCCCUAUGGGUUGUAAACUUCUUUUAUAUGGGAAUAAAACGUUCCACGUGUGGGAUUUUGUAUGUACCAUAUGAAUAAGGAUCGGCUAACUCCGUGCCAGCAGCCGCGGUAAUACGGAGGAUCCGAGCGUUAUCCGGCUUUAUUGGGUUUAAAGGGAGCGUAGGUGGAUUGUUAAGUCAGUUGUGAAAGUUUGCGGCUCAACCGUAAAAUUGCAGUUGAAACUGGCAGUCUUGAGUACAGUAGAGGUGGGCGGAAUUCGUGGUGUAGCGGUGAAAUGCUUAGAUAUCACGAAGAACUCCGAUUGCGAAGGCAGUUCACUGGACUGCAACUGACACUGAGGCUCGAAAGUGUGGGUAUCAAACAGGAUUAGAUACCCUAGUAGUC